UGAGGGUUGGUGCAGAUUCGAUGGGCCGAAUGGCCUUUUCCUGCACUAUAGGGAUUCUAGCAUUCUAAAUAAAAUGCUUUGACAUCUCUUAGCCUUGUUUUCCCCUCAGUGUGCCAGUCUCACCGUCAAACUGAGUAGUAGCACCACAUUUAACAAAAGCGUCGUCUCUCCCUCCAUCACCAUGACCACCCACCGUGCGUCUCCCCGCCAUCUAAACUGAGAAAAACGGGGUAAAAGGGUAAUUCUGUGUUUGAGUGAUUCAGCAUUGAAAGAGUUAAUAGCACCGGAUCAGCCCGAAAAGCCGCUCGAGGCAGUCGGCAUUUUCAGAAUGGCGUUCAUGUGGCUUUAAGGAAUGAAAUGACUCGGGUGAAAGAAGACACGCACAGAAGCAGUCCACCCUCUGUUGUUUAUCCUUAAACUAAGACCCAUUUUCUUCACUGUUUCCUUCGCUUCCCAAACCCCGACCCUCUGGGUUCAGAACUGAGCACAAUCUGAGCCGCGUAAUGUAACCAGCGGAUAAAAGUCGUAAAUUAUAGAACUGCUUUUACGGCAUGUGUUUCCCUUUGCAACAGAAAAAAAAAUCCCCGCGAAGAUCGCGGUUUCGGGGUGCUUUCAAUUUAGCUAUAGAAUAUUUCUUUACAAAAGAAGGGGCAAGGAUUCAGAAAUGUUCGCCAAAGCGGCGUGUUAAAGCCACCGGGAGACCGGCAAGCAGGGCCCGGAGUAUAACGUCGGUGAAUUAAGCGAGACACGACAAGAAAAUUCGUGCGAAAAGAUCUUCAAGAGGGAUAAAACAAACUGCCUUACCAGACAUUCUAGGAUUUCUAAUUGUCAGCUUGCUUCAGGAGAGAUGCUUUGAAUGGCCCCAGCAAUGAAUCUUUCUCUUCAGAUUUGUUGAUAAGAGUGCAAUAUUCUUAAAAUUAAGGCAAUGUGCUGGUUUCAGCACUGAAAUUUGAACAAUACACAAUCACAAUUAUUGCACUAUACCUUGGGAUAUAACUUAGAGUUUUGCAGCACUCAUGCCGACCUUUUUAAAACCUCUACAAUCCAAUGAUUUGACAAUGAAUGAUUGCGCGAUACUUUCAAUUUGAAUAUUCAAAGCCCAGACAAAAAGAGUGCUCUCUUUUUGAAACACUGUGCUUUUCCAUCUAUUUAAGACUCCAAUGGAAUGAAAUACAAUGUAAAGUAUGGAACUUUAUGCAUGAUUGUGCACAUUUUUGUGAUUUUGAGAAUCUUUGGCUGGUGGGGCUAGAGAGAAUCAAACAUGCCCAUAAUUUUUAUCCUGCCCACUCAUUUUUACCCCAGAGCCCUCCCAACUCCACAUUCACAUUUGCCAGCGAUGCACUACAGGCCUGGGUGCACUUUAUAUCGAUGUUUUAUCCUGGUAAGUGGCAUUUAUCCACGAUUUGGUACCAAACAUGGCAGAUUGUGGGCGUGGCAUAGAGUAGUCCUUUAAUUGAGCAUGAAGUGAGAAUAAAAACAGCAAACGGUUGAUCUCCAACUACAUUCUACAUCUGUAGCAGUCAUACAAAACUCUGGGAUUUAAGAAUUGUUUGUCACGAAACGGAGGGAGUGAAGAUUUCCUUACAGUAAUGAUCCGGUGAUAUUUGAAUAUCGCCUGCCCGUUUGAGGCCAUCUUUUGGGAUUUUAUUUCAUUCUGAUUUUCUGGCGGUUUAACUAAAUCGCAAGCGACCGAGGCCUUUCGAGCGCAUCCCAGUGCAUCAGACCUUCGCCGUUUAGACACGAGGAGCGGGAUUCCCCUGUCGUAGUGUUUUGUUCAUUGUUUUUAAUUUUGUUAUGGUGCAUAAUUAAUAAACAAUCCUGUUUGUUAAA